CGUGGUGAAGGUACGGUUAAGUGAGGGUUAAGGUUAUUAGGUUAUGGAUGUCCCAAGGGUCCCGUAUAGCUCUAACCGUGCGACUGGCUCCCGUGCGCAUGUAAACCAAUGCAAUGGGAUGAAAAGGAAGUCGCGAAGACGUUUCUGCUUAUACAAAUCAAAACAAACGGACAAGCCCAUGAUACCGGACACGAAUACGAUCAAAUGCACUCAUAUGACCACUAGCCACCAAACGGCAAAUCCUUGACACGGUAUAAUUUAGCACAUUAUAAGCAAGGAAAUGGCUUCAAUAAUCUUCGCAGAGAGAAAAUGCCACCCUCCAUACACCUGUGCUAAAGACGCGCCAGCGGUUGAUAUCUGCUCCAGAAAACCUCUUGAAGACUCUGCUGACAGGAAAAAAGUAGCAUGUUCCUUUACAGUCUGGUCGCACGGCUUUGGUGGUAGUGAACAAGAUCACCUCAACUCCAACUGUAAAUGGACAAAAGAACAAACUCCUUGAGACUCAGAGAAUUGCACUAAGGAAUUGGAUGCCUUCCUUCAAACUAUCAAUGAGCUGAUCAUUGACCUGCCCCCAGAGAUGGAUGUAUGAGUCUAUGGCUUUGUACAGUUGAAAACGUAUUAAUCUGUAUAAUUGUUUUUUUUAUGAAUAAAGUUUUAGUCUGAAUAGUU